GACGAACGCUGGCGGCGUGCUUAACACAUGCAAGUCGAACGGAAAGGCCCUGCUUUUGUGGGGUGCUCGAGUGGCGAACGGGUGAGUAACACGUGAGUAACCUGCCCUUGACUUUGGGAUAACUUCAGGAAACUGGGGCUAAUACCGGAUAGGAGCUCCUGCUGCAUGGUGGGGGUUGGAAAGUUUCGGCGGUUGGGGAUGGACUCGCGGCUUAUCAGCUUGUUGGUGGGGUAGUGGCUUACCAAGGCUUUGACGGGUAGCCGGCCUGAGAGGGUGACCGGCCGCAUAGGGACUGAGGUACGGCCCAGACUGCUACGGGAGGCAGCAGUGGGGAAUAUUGCACAAGGGGCGGAAGCCUGAUGCAGCAAGGCCGCGGGCGGGAUGACGGCCUUCGGGUUGUAAACCGCUUGCGCCUGUGACGAAGCGUGAGUGACGGUAAUGGGUAAAGAAGCACCGGCUAACUACGUGC
rnacentral:rRNA from 1 species